GAUGAACGCUAGCGGCAGGCCUAACACAUGCAAGUCGAGGGGUAACAGGGUAGCAAUAUCGCUGACGACCGGCGCACGGGUGAGUAACACGUAUGCAACCUUCCUUUAACUGGGGGAUAGCCCGGAGAAAUUCGGAUUAAUACCCCAUAAUAUCACAGAAAGGCAUCUUUUUGUGAUUAAAGCUCCGGCGGUUAAAGAUGGGCACGCGUACCAUUAGCUAGUUGGUGAGGUAACGGCUCACCAAGGCAACGAUGGUUAGGGGGUCUGAGAGGAUGAUCCCCCACACUGGUACUGAGACACGGACCAGACUCCUACGGGAGGCAGCAGUGAGGAAUAUUGGGCAAUGGGCGCAAGCCUGACCCAGCCAUGCCGCGUGAAGGAUGAAUGCCCUAUGGGUUGUAAACUUCUUUUGUACGGGACGAAACUCCUGGUCGUGACCGGGAUUGACUGUACCGUGCGAAUAAGCAUCGACUAACUCCGUGCCAGCCGCCGCCGUAAAAC
rnacentral:rRNA from 1 species